rnacentral:rRNA from 1 species
AUGCUAAACGGGUUAUUCUCAGGUCGACUAUUUAUUCACUCACCAUCGCAUGAGAAAAGGGCGGUAUUAGGGAUGCCUAGUCCCAAACUGCAAAAUACAAAAAGAGUUAAGCGCUCGAAUAAUCAAACAAAAACUCCCAACAGAGUCAAAACCUUUACUUUUAUCGCUUGGGAACUGCCACUAGCUUGUUUAGCAUGGGAGAUAUUGAUAACUGAUAGUCGUGAAGUAAAUGAGAAGGGUCCAUGUCCCAAAAUAAUCAUUUACCUCUGUUUUAAAAAUAGAGCUCUGGCACCUCUGCAAAUCACUGCUUCCCUCUGCGAAGGGACUAUCUAUUUACUUUUAUGUUGUGUCACCACCUUCUAA